UGAUGUGUGACAUCCCUCCCCCAUUGAUCAUCAGGGUAGAUUUAGCUGAUCUGACUGGAUAGACAGGUCCCCCCUUCCUUCCUCUCUCAACUCUCCAUGUGCAUCGCUCCCAAUGCUUUUCACUCAGUAGAAGAGAACAACCAUCCCAUAUAGAAGAGGUGUGAUGUUCCUUGAGUG
rnacentral:snRNA from 1 species